GCCGAAAUAGCUCAGUUGGGAGAGCGUCAGACUGAAGAUCUGAAGGUCCUGGUUCAAUCCGGAGAGUUUGUA
rnacentral:tRNA from 1 species